ACACGACUACAUUAGACUACCCGGUAGUCCUAGCCGUAAACGAUACUCGCUAGGUGUCGGCCACGGUGCGACCGUUGUCGGUGCCGUAGGGAAGCCGUGAAGCGAGCCACCUGGGAAGUACGGCCGCAAGGCUGAAACUUAAAGGAAUUGGCGGGGGAGCACAACAACGGGUGGAGCUUGCGGUUUAAUUGGAUUCAACGCCGGAAAUCUUACCGGGACCGACAGCAACAUGAAGGCCAAGCUGAAGACUUUGCCGGAUUAGCUG
rnacentral:rRNA from 1 species